rnacentral:rRNA from 1 species
GAUGAACGCUGGCGGCGUGCCUAAUACAUGCAAGUCGAGCGAACAGACGAGGAGCUUGCUCCUCUGACGUUAGCGGCGGACGGGUGAGUAACACGUGGAUAACCUACCUAUAAGACUGGGAUAACUUCGGGAAACCGGAGCUAAUACCGGAUAAUAUAUUGAACCGCAUGGUUCAAUAGUGAAAGACGGUUUAGCUGUCACUUAUAGAUGGAUCCGCGCCGCAUUAGCUAGUUGGUAAGGUAACGGCUUACCAAGGCAACGAUGCGUAGCCGACCUGAGAGGGUGAUCGGCCACACUGGAACUGAGACACGGUCCAGACUCCUACGGGAGGCAGCAGUAGGGAAUCUUCCGCGAUGGGCGAAAGCCUGACGGAGCAACGCCGCGUGAGUGAUGAAGGUCUUCGGAUCGUAAAACUCUGUUAUUAGGGAAGAACAAAUGUGUAAGUAACUAUGCACGUCUUGACGGUACCUAAUCAGAAAGCCACGGCUAACUACGUG